rnacentral:tRNA from 1 species
GGAGGUAGAGCUCAGUGGUAGAGCAUAGGCUUAGCAUGUGCUUAGCAUAUGCAAGGUCUUGGGUUCAAUCCCCAGUACUUCCA